rnacentral:rRNA from 1 species
UUCUUGGAGAGUUUGAUCCUGGCUCAGGACGAACGCUGGCGGCGUGCCUAAUACAUGCAAGUCGAGCGGACUUGAUGGAGAGCUUGCUCUC